GCCUGGUUGGCUCAGUGGUUGAGUGUCUGCCUUUGGCCCAGGGUGUGAUCCUGGAGACCUGGGAUUGAGUCCCACAUCAGGCU
rnacentral:tRNA from 1 species